rnacentral:rRNA from 1 species
UAAAUACUACUCGAUGACCGAUAGUGAACUAGUAGGGCGAUUGAACGGUGAAAAGAACAGCUGUUAGCUGAGUCAAAAGAACCUGAAACCAUAUACUUACAAGCGGUCGGAGCCCCAAGUGGGUGACGGCGUACCUUUUGCAUAAUGGGCCGGCGAGUGCAUGUUUGCGGCAAGGCUAAGGCGUUGAGCGCUGGAGCCGUAGUGAAAGCGAGCCUUAAGAUGGCGUGAAGUCGUAGGCAUGCGGCCCGAAACCUAGUGAUCUACCCAUGGGCAGAGUGAACGUUCCGUAAAAGGAACGGGAGGCUCGAAGCCGUGAACGUUGAAAAGUUCUGGCAUGACCUGUGGGGAGGAGUGAAAGUCUAAUCAAACCUGGAGAUAGCUCGUUCUCUCCGAAAUGGCUUUAGGGCCAGCCUCGGGCAUUACCCUGCGGGGGUAGAGCGACGGAAUUCGGCCGGGGGGCUUCCCGCCUACCCGCCGAAACCCAACUCCGAAUACCGCGAAAUGGACCCCGGGAGUCAGAGCGUGGGGGAUAAGCUUCACGCUCGAGAGGGAAACAACCCAGACCGCCGACCAAGGCCCCCAAGUUGACGCUCAGUGGCAAAGGAAGUGGGAUCGCGGUGACAGCCGGGAUGUUGGCUUAGAAGCAGCCACCAUUUCAAAAGUGCGUAACAGCUUACCGGUCGAGCCAUCCCGCGCCGAAAAUGACGGGGACUCAAGCGUCACGCCGCAGUCGCGGGUUCGAUCGCAAGAUCGAGCAGUAGGAGAGCGUCGCCAUCCGCGGCGAAGCCGUACGGACAACGAACGGUGGAGCGAUGGCGAGUGCGUAUGCCGGAACGAGUAACGAUAAGACGGGUGGGAAGCCCGUCCGCCGAAAGCACAAGGUUUCCUGGGGAAGGUCAAUCCGCCCAGGGUCAGUCGGGACCUAAGUCGAGGCCCAGGGGCGUAGACGAUGGACACGCGGUUAAUAUUCCGCGACCCGAUGGUGAGGUUGAACCAGCGAGGACGCCGGGAAGUGAACGGUCGGGGUGAUAGAUUACCCCGUCCCGCAAGGGCGACGGCAUUCGAUCCGGAAGCCCCCCUUCACCCGGCCGCGAAAAGCCCGCCGUGGACGAGCCAUCGGCCCGUACCGCAAUCCGACACAGGUGUGCUAGGCGAGCAUCCGAAGGCGUUCGGGAGAACCCUCGUGAAGGAACACCCCAAAAUCACCCCGUAACUUCGGUAUAAGGGGUGCUCAUCUGGCGACAGGUGAGCCGCAGAGAAUCGGCUCUAGCGACUGUUUAUCAAAAACACAGGACUCUGCCAACUCGCAAGAGGACGUAUAGAGUCUGACGCCUGCUCGGUGUCGGUAGGUUAAGGGAGCCGGUUAGCGCAAGCGAGGCUGGCGACCGAAGCCCCGAUAAACGGCGGCCGUAACUAUGACGGUCCUAAGGUAGCGAAGUUCCUUGUCGGGUAAGUUCCGACCUGCAUGAAUGGCGUAACGACUGGAGCGCUGUCUCCACGGGGGACCCGGUGAAAUUGUAGCCGUGGUGAAGAUGCCACGUACCCGCGGUCAGACGGAAAGACCCCGUGAACCUUUACUGCAGGUUGACACUGGC